UGGAGAGCUUACAAAGUAUAGGGUUAAAAGUAGAGAGGAGAAAGAACGUGAGCGAAUGGCAAGUAAAAGAGACACGAAGCGAAGACAUACGCGAGGAUAACGCUGCCUGAUGAUGAUGAUGAUGACCAGCAUCAUCAAAAAUCGGAGGCAUCAUCAAAACUUUUGUGCGAGGCUUACAACUGACCGGACCGAGGGACGACGAUCUGAUGCUGCCCUCCUCUAGGGCCAACAACUGCGGCUGGUCAGCGACAGCGGCAGCGGCAGCGGCGCAUGGUCAUCAUCGUGGUCUCAAAAUAAUAAGAUGACAUCCAACACUUCUUGGCGAAUGAGCAGGCAGAAAGCGCAAGCGCACAUCGCGAUCAGGCCCUAACCUUACCCCAUGUGCUGGUGGUGGUGGUGGUGGUGCCUCGAUGCUGAUGCCGCUUUCGAUGUGCCUCUCCCUAUAUGUACAUUGUACAACCCUGCGCCGCAGUCCGUUCCAAA